GUAACAGAGGUUUCCUGGAUCAUCACUGGUAAAGGCUCUGAGGUGAACGACAACCACUGUGCCAGUGUUGGGGACACGUUUAACCCCUUCAACAUGGAAGCUGGGGUGAGUUUAUUCUCUCAUUUUCACUUACAAUACAUCAUGGCCAUUCUUCAUGAAGUGUCUAGGAUAGAUCAGCAUUCCUACUCUGAGACACUUUAUGAAUAAGGGCCCAGUACCUAGCCAUCAUAGGAGAAUUUCCCCCACUGUGUAGUCCACUGUGUAGUCCACUGUGUAGUCCACUGUGUAGUCCACUGUGUAGUCCACUGUGUAGUCCACUGUGUAGCGCUGAUCUCUGCUUUAUUUCAACUUUAAAGUUCCACUUGAUCAACAAGUCUUAUGGAAUCCAACGGAACUGUGUUUGAUAUUCCAUCGAAUCUUUGUCUUUGACAAUGUCACAGUUGUUGGGUUUUGAGUUUGCAAGAAAGGCAUUUCACUGUACUUAUGCAUGUGACAUUAAAACUUGCAACUACACCACAACCAUAUACUUCACAUUGUUCUCAUAACCAGAAGUGGAAGUGUUUGUUGGAAUUGGUUUCAAUAGAAUUAGAAUGAGUAGAACAGUCAUGGAACCUCUGACCCAGCCCUAUUGACUUGAAUGGGGACGUCCCUUCUAGUGAUUCUAUUUCUAUGGUUGGUUCCGUCCUCUGCUCUGUUCUGUUCUCUCUCAGAACUCCAGUUGUUCCCGUGACAACACUCUGAGUUGUGAGGUGGGAGACCUGACGAACAGACAGGGGACAGUCAGCCUGACACACAGGCAGCUGUACACCGACACCAGCAUACAACUGGCUGGGGACUACACAGUGGUCCACAGGUCCCUGGUCCUGAGGAGCGGCAGCGAUGUCUUCGCGUGUGCCGUCAUUCUUCCAGAAUCCCCCUGGGCAGAGCAGACCUUCCCCAACGUCAUGUCUUUCAGCAGAUAUGACUUCCGCAAUAGGGUGGCAGAGGUCCUAGAGGUGAACAUGUCCAGGGUCACCAUCCUUCCAGGGUCUCCUCUGGCCACAGUGGACAGACCAUGCCAGAAAGUCAGCUUCCUUGUCUCAGGGGAGGUGAGUAUGGACAAGAUGAACUCUGUCAAAGACAGUGAGAAGAUGGGCAUCUUCAAGCAGACAGAAGGUUGCUCAAGUAAGUACACCACUGACCCACACACACGCACCCAUCCACUCACACACACCCAAUACAGUAGGUGUGAUAGUGUAUAACUGAACAGAAACAUACAAAUAAACCUUACUGUGUAGACAUAUUAAUGUAAUACAAUCUUUCAUCUAAAUUUUCAUUUAAACAGGAAGUUCUGGACAACUGCUGGAGCCUGGGAGAUACCUGGUGAUGUUGACGAUAGCUGCAGCCUACUUCCUACACUCUCUGAUCCAGCAGUAGUUUAUACUGUAGAUCUAGGUUUGCAUCCCAAAUGGCACCCUAUUCUCCAUAUAGUGCACUACUUCUGACCAGAGACUUUUUUAAAUUUUUUAUUUCACCUUUAUUUAACCAGGUAGGCCAAUUGAGAACAAGUUCUCAUUUACAACUGCAACCUGGCCAAGAUAAAGCAAAGCAGUGCGACACAAACAACAACACAGAGUUACACAUGGAAUAAACAAACAUACAGUCAAUAACACAAUAGAAAGAAUCUGUAUACAGUGUGUGCAAAUUAGGUAAGAUUAGGGAGGUAAGGCAAUAAAUAGGACGUAGUGGCGAAGUAAUUACAAUUUAGCAAUUAAACACUGGAGUGAUAGAUGUGCAGAAAAUUAAUGUGCAAGUAGAGAUACUAGGGUGCAAAGGAGCAAAAAAAUAAAACAUAUGGGGAUGAGGUAGUUGGAUGGGCUAUGUACAGGUGCAAUGAUCUGUGAGCUGCUCUGACAGCUGAUGCUUAAAGUUAGUGAGGGAGAUAUGAGUCUCCAGCUUCAGUGAUUUUUGCAAUUCGUUCCAGUCAUUGGCAGCAGAGAACCUGAAGGAAAGGCAGCCAAAGGAGGAAUUGACUUUGGGGGUGACCAGUGAAAUAUACCUGCUGGAGCACGUGCUACGGGUGGGUGCUGCUAUGGUGACCAGUGAGCUGAGAUAAGGCGGGGCUUUACCUAGCAAAGACUUGGGUUUUGGUCAAAAGUAGUGCACUAUAUAGGGAAUAGGGUGCCAUUUUGGCAUAGCCAUAACCCUCACUUUGAAUCAACACUGGAACUGUCAAAUAUUCAUAUUUUCUAAACUGCAAUGAAGUCUAUAUUUUGAUGAUCUUUUUGUCAUUGAUCUGAAUGGUGUGGGUUUGAAUUUGCUCUUGAAGCAAGCAUUUUUUUGUUUAUUCGUUUUUUAUCCUAGAUAUAAAAAAUUAUAUACUUUAGAUGCCAACUAAAUGCCAACUUCCUGUUUUAUAUUGUAAAUAUUCCACGUUUGGGUAAAUAUGACUGAGUAUACUGUUUCAGCCCAAUAUCCAGAACAUCAAAACAAACUUAAUAGCGCAAAAAUUGUUCAUUGUCCUUCCCUGUCCAAUUACUGUAUCAAAAAUGCAAUAUGAAGGAAAGAGAUGCUGUAAAUGUUUGCAAAUGUCUCCCAUUGUAUGUACUGUUUUCUCAUGCAUUAAUGUAUUACACUGCCACUUUCCCAUUUAAGGUGAAUUUCCAAGUCUUGCAUAUAUGUUUUUAUUGAGUAACCAUAAAAAUAACGUGAUGAUGAAAAAAUAUAUUUGGAUAAAUACGGAUUAUUGAAAACGUGAAUUUCAUGAAAUCUCUAUAGGCCUUUUACUCCAAUGCAGGGGCGUAGGCUACAUGCUGUUUCAUACAUGUUGCCGUUUACUUGAGCCGCUGUAUUUUGAAUUAAAGGAAGGCGA
ensembl:lncRNA